rnacentral:lncRNA from 1 species
AACAAAGUAAAGACAGGAAACAACAUGUGUGUGGUUUGAAUGAUGACCUAGUUGAUGUGAGAGAGGAAGGUGUCAUGUUUACAUGUACAAACCAGGAUAAAAAAUCUCAACCGUUUUGUUACUGGGUUGUAGGGCGCUGUUUGUCAAGAUCAUUGCGGAGGGAGGUUUAUGUUUGUUUUCAUGACUCAACACCACAAACUGUGAUAGAACUGGCAUUUAAGAUAGCUCUUGGUUACCUCCCUUUAUGAAAAUUGUUCUAGAGUAAAAAACAUUUUAGUGGUAGAGUAUUUAUAUGCAAAAUAAGUUUUUUCUUGUUAAAAUAGCUAUUGUCAGUAUUUAUGGAAUUAAUUGCAAUAAAUUAGAGAAAAUUUGAAAGAAUAUCCAAACUUGAAGAUUAAGUAAUGACCAAAGCUACCUCAGGCAUUUGUCAUGUUCAUUAUAUUCAUCAUUGUAAACUUUUGUGAAAACACAGCAAGUUUUGUGAUAAUGUGUCUCUUUUUUUUCUGUCAGAGAACAGAUCAUGAGUUCUGUCUAACACGUUUUUGGUCAGUCUUUCCAAACCUGGUGAUAAUAUUGUUAGUGCAGAUUCAUGUUUUUCUGCAAUGAAGAAUUCAUGAGUAAUAUUUUUGCAAACAAAGUGAUUCACAAUUCAAAACAAUUGUUCAUUUUGAACAGUCAUCAUCUCUUUAAACCAUUUGCCUAUACAGUAAAACAUUGACAGCUCAAAGUUGCAAAGAGAUGAGCAAAAUGCUUGUGUUAUCCAAGGGAGGGGAGGGGUUCAAGAGCUACAAACAGAGAAUUUGAGGAAAAUGGCUGGGAAAUCGUUUAGUCUAUGUUCCAGACUUUCAAAUGGAUGAAUGUAGGCCCUGAUCAGAAAUGAUCAAUUAUAUUGGUGGAAACUGGCCUUAUCUAAACUAAUUUAUUAGAAACAGUUGUCUUGGAUAUUAUUAAUCAUCUUACAGAAAUCAGAAUCAUUUUCAUGUUAACAUGGUUUUUUUGAAAUGAAUUAAAAAAUGGCAAUCAAAAUGUUUUCUUAAGCAACAUAUUUUAUACGCUCGUUUGAAAGACAGGAUGUAUUAUGGGAACGCCCUUGGCGGGCGGACGUUGUCCACAAAUUUUGUCCGAAGCAUUUCUUUUUCAUGCAUGGAGGGAUUUCGAUGUAACUUGGCACAAAUGUUCACCACCAUGAGACAGAGUGUCAUGUGCAUGAACCAGGCCCCUACGUCUAAGGUCAAGGUUGCACUUAGAGGUCAACAAGCGUUCGAGGGGCGUAUACACCCUUGUAUUUUUAAUUAAUUACUGCAUAGUUUCGGAAAUAGUUGUUUUUCACAGUGUAACUAGAAGUUCUAAGAUAAAAAGGUCAAGCCAAGUCUGUUUACUAGAUUUAUGUAACAACUUAGAAAAAAAACUACAGAAUUUGUACUUCCAAUUUAAGUAAAACUUUCCAAUACCAGCUAAGAAAGUAAAGUCUAAAUUAUUUAUGAAAGUAAAAGAAAUAGAAUCUGAUGUCUGAAAAUUGUGCUUACUUUAAAAUAUGAAUGUGUCAGCUAGAUACCGGUAAUAGGUAAUAUAUUACUUUCGUGCAUUUAUGUUCAUGUAUUUAUAAAUUACAAAAUAUUUAAUAUUGCAAUGUAUUUAAUAUGAAAUAUACAUGGAGAUGGGAUCAUACAUGUUGUAUAACUAUAUGAAUGUUGAUAUUGUUUUGAAAGAUUUACAAGUGUUUCUAUGCAAUAGAUUGUUUUCUUAGA